UCUCCAAUGAUGAUUAAGACAUGACUUUCGUUCUUCUGAGUUUAACUGAAGCCAUUAUUUCUGUCCUGAGAAGA